rnacentral:misc_RNA from 1 species
AACAGAAUAGGAAACUCUUUUACCUGAAAACGUAAAUGUGGCUACUGAAAUUAAUUUAAAUUCAAACAACGCAACACUAGCCACAACUGGAAAUGGUGAGAUUUAUGAGUUAACUAGGUUGAUUGUGAAUUUCAUGUAAUGAGGCAAAAGAUAGAAAUUAGAAAAUUCGCAUGGGAUAAGAAAAUAUUCUGAAAUAUAUUUUUUUUAUGAAUAGAAUUAGAUUGAAUAUUCAAGAGAUUGUACAGUAUAAUCAAAACUGAACAACUUUGUUAGUGAAUUGACCCCAUAGAUGAUAUAAAUUUUCACAUCCAAAAACUCAUUAUCACAAGCUAAGCAGUAAGCAAUAUUUAGCUGAAAUUCAUUUAAUACUAAAGAAAAGGAACUAAAAACAUACAAAUGAGAUUCUCACAAGAAAAAGAAAAGUUACAUAUAAUAUAACAGGAGCAGAUUCUCACAAGAAAGAGGGAAAGGCAUCAACAUAGGCACAAUAACAAAUCUUAAGUCAUUCUUAUGCUUACCCAAUAAAAUAAAAUUUAAUGUUUUAUGAGAUUUGUUACUUUGAGAUUAAGGAAUCAGGUCAAUAGAAACUUAACAAGCUGAUGAUGUCUCUAUAAUG